GAUGAACGCUAGCGGCAGGCCUAAUACAUGCAAGUCGAGGGGCAGCGCGGUAGCAAUACUGGCGGCGACCGGCGCACGGGUGCGUAACGCGUAUGGAACCUACCCUUCACUGGGGGAUAGCCCGGAGAAAUUCGGAUUAAUACCCCAUGGUAUGUGAGAGAGGCAUUUCUUUCACAUUAAAGAUUUAUCGGUGAGGGAUGGCCAUGCGUAUGAUUAGCUAGUUGGCGGGGUAACGGCCCACCAAGGCGACGAUCAUUAGGGGGUCUGAGAGGAUGAUCCCCCACACUGGUACUGAGAUACGGACCAGACUCCUACGGGAGGCAGCAGUAGGGAAUAUGGUCAAUGGGCGAGAGCCUGAACCAGCCAUGCCGCGUGCAGGAAGAAGGCCCUCUGGGUUGUAAACUGCUUUUGACAGGGGGCCAAAAUACUCAUGCGUGAGGAAUUGAGAGUACCUGUAGAAUAAGCACCGGCUAAACUCCGUGCCAGCAGCCGC
rnacentral:rRNA from 1 species